CUACGGGGCGCAGCAGUGGGGAAUAUUGGACAAUGGGGGCAACCCUGAUCCAGCCAUGCCGCGUGUGUGAAGAAGGCCUUUUGGUUGUAAAGCACUUUAAGCAGUGAAGAAGACCUAACGGUUAAUACCCGUUAGCGAUGACAUUAGCUGCAGAAUAAGCACCGGCUAACUCUGUGCCAGCAGCCGCGGUAAUACAGAGAGUGCAAGCGUUAAUCGGAAUUACUGGGCGUAAAGCGAGCGUAGGUGGCUUGAUAAGUCAGAUGUGAAAUCCCCGGGCUUAACCUGGGAACUGCAUCUGAUACUGUUAAGCUAGAGUAGGUGAGAGGGAAGUAGAAUUCCAGGUGUAGCGGUGAAAUGCGUAGAGAUCUGGAGGAAUACCGAUGGCGAAGGCAGCUUCCUGGCAUCAUACUGACACUGAGGCUCGAAAGCGUGGGUAGCAAACAGGAUUAGAUACCCCCGUAGUC
rnacentral:rRNA from 1 species